GAGUUUGAUCAUGGCUCAGAUUGAACGCUGGCGGCAGGCCUAACACAUGCAAGUCGAACGGUAACAGGAAGCAGCUUGCUGCUUUGCUGACGAGUGGCGGACGGGUGAGUAAUGUCUGGGAAACUGCCUGAUGGAGGGGGAUAACUACUGGAAACGGUGGCUAAUACCGCAUAACGUCGCAAGACCAAAGAGGGGGACCUUCGGGCCUCUUGCCAUCAGAUGUGCCCAGAUGGGAUUAGCUUGUUGGUGAGGUAACGGCUCACCAAGGCGACGAUCCCUAGCUGGUCUGAGAGGAUGACCAGCCACACUGGAACUGAGACACGGUCCAGACUCCUACGGGAGGCAGCAGUGGGGAAUAUUGCACAAUGGGCGCAAGCCUGAUGCAGCCAUGCCGCGUGUAUGAAGAAGGCCUUCGGGUUGUAAAGUACUUUCAGCGGGGAGGAAGGUGUUGUGGUUAAUAACCACAGCAAUUGACGUUACCCGCAGAAGAAGCACCGGCUAACUCCGUGCCAGCAGCCGCGGUAAUACGGAGGGUGCAAGCGUUAAUCGGAAUUACUGGGCGUAAAGCGCACGCAGGCGGUCUGUCAAGUCGGAUGUGAAAUCCCCGGGCUCAACCUGGGAACUGCAUUCGAAACUGGCAGGCUUGAGUCUUGUAGAGGGGGGUAGAAUUCCAGGUGUAGCGGUGAAAUGCGUAGAGAUCUGGAGGAAUACCGGUGGCGAAGGCGGCCCCCUGGACAAAGACUGACGCUCAGGUGCGAAAGCGUGGGGAGCAAACAGGAUUAGAUACCCUGGUAGUCCACGCCGUAAACGAUGUCUACUUGGAGGUUGUGCCCUUGAGGCGUGGCUUCCGGAGCUAACGCGUUAAGUAGACCGCCUGGGGAGUACGGCCGCAAGGUUAAAACUCAAAUGAAUUGACGGGGGCCCGCACAAGCGGUGGAGCAUGUGGUUUAAUUCGAUGCAACGCGAAGAACCUUACCUGGUCUUGACAUCCACAGAACUUUCCAGAGAUGGAUUGGUGCCUUCGGGAACUGUGAGACAGGUGCUGCAUGGCUGUCGUCAGCUCGUGUUGUGAAAUGUUGGGUUAAGUCCCGCAACGAGCGCAACCCUUAUCCUUUGUUGCCAGCGGUCCGGCCGGGAACUCAAAGGAGACUGCCAGUGAUAAACUGGAGGAAGGUGGGGAUGACGUCAAGUCAUCAUGGCCCUUACGACCAGGGCUACACACGUGCUACAAUGGCGCAUACAAAGAGAAGCGACCUCGCGAGAGCAAGCGGACCUCAUAAAGUGCGUCGUAGUCCGGAUUGGAGUCUGCAACUCGACUCCAUGAAGUCGGAAUCGCUAGUAAUCGUGGAUCAGAAUGCCACGGUGAAUACGUUCCCGGGCCUUGUACACACCGCCCGUCACACCAUGGGAGUGGGUUGCAAAAGAAGUAGGUAGCUUAACCUUCGGGAGGGCGCUUACCACUUUGUGAUUCAUGACUGGGGUGAAGUCGUAACAAGGUAACCGUAGGGGAACCUGCGGUUGGA
rnacentral:rRNA from 1 species